rnacentral:misc_RNA from 1 species
UUUAUGACACAAAAAAAUGAAAAAAUUAUACAGCUGUUCUUUUGUACACUUAACAAACAGCUGAAUUUCUUUCAAAAAAGGGAGAAGGGAUUGAGGAAAAGAGGGAAAAGGAAAAAAAAGUAUAACAAAAAUCACACUCAAUAUUUUGGAGGCAAAUGGAUUUGUUUUUAUUUUGAUGCUUUAAAUAGUUGGCUUCCAAGAGUCACAGUUGGGGUUCCUUCCCCCAUUACUGUUGUUAAGCUCAUCUCUUUCUCGAGUAUCCGAUCGAGUUCCAUCACCACGUAACUCAUGGCAGGUCGCCUCUCGCUUGAAGGUUCCAGGCAUCGGACUAUCAGUUGUAUGAACUCCUCCAUGCCUUCAGCUGUGAAGCUAGUUCCCAAUUUUUGAUCAACAAUGCUAGCAAAAACACUGUAGUCCUCAGUAUUUUGAACCUUCGUAAGAAAUAACAACAAAUCCAUUUUAGCUCCAACUAGCAACUCACAAGUUAUGCAAUACAUUGCAAUAUGCAGCAUCUGCAACUGCUACAUUACUUGAAAGUGUUUCAGGAAUAGCUAGAAUAUGCAUCAGUAUGAACAGACAACUAGACAUUUAUGUUCAUGCGUACACAACCAUUGCGUUGCAAAUUUGUAGCAAGUAUGUUGGUGAUGACAAUAUAUAAAUAGCAAAACAAAAAACUAUCAAUAGCAUUGUACUUGGACACCAUACCCAUUCAACCAGGUUUUGGCUGGAGUCUGGAGAUGGCGAUUCUGUUGCUUCCUGUCCGUGUAGUAACUCCAGAAGGAAUACGCCAAAACUGAAUACAUCACUUUUAUCAGAAAAUCUUCUGAACUCUUUCACCCUGCAUGCAUCAACGGUAAAUUGGUAAAGUGAUAAACUACGUUACCUUAACAGCUAUACAAAACACGGAAGCUUAGGAGUAAUACUCUGGCGCAAGAAAUAUGUCAUCUGCUGUCACUUGUGAAGAUGGACCUGCAACAUCAACAUGUCCCAGGAAAUUACGAAGUCCUGCAUCUGCAACCUUGGCAAUAAAAUUUUCAUCUACAAGAACAUUGGCUGUUUUGAAAUCCUUGUGUAAUAAACGGGGACUCUGAGAGUGAAGAUGAGCCAAACCUGGACAAAAUUUUACAUAACUCAAAGGUACACUCAUUUCAAAACCUUUCACAUGUGAUGGAAAAGCCUUCAUUCAAUUUCAAGUCUCACCAAACUUGAAAUAUUUUGCAUUAUUGAUAUUCAGUUUUAUUUUCUCUUUUUUUUCUCAGGACCAGAUAUUUUGUCUAAAUAAAAGAAAAACCUAUACCAGGAAAGCCAAAAUGCUCACUGAUUUUGCAGAGGAUCACCUUUAGCUGCACCAAGAGCUAUUGAAAGUCUAAGCUUGAAUUCUAGCUUCCCAUCUGAAGCACGACCAGGUCCAUACAAGUGACUGGAAACACUCCCACUAGGUAUAUACUCGUAUAUGAGAAACUGUUCAUUACUUUCCUGGCAGUAGCCCAAAAGAGUCACAAGAUUCCGAUGCUGAAUAGGUGAAAGGUAGCGCACCUCAUCAACAAAUUCAGGGCUAGGUGCUCCAGAUCGCUUUUUGAUAGCCACAAGCAUCCCAUCAUUAAGCAAACCCUUAUAUACUUCCCCAAAUUUUCCUACCCCAAUCAAAUUUUUAUCACUAAAAUUUUUUGUAGCAACAGACAAUUCUUCCAUCUCAAAACGCCUUGCUUCUCGCAUGGACAACUCAACCCCAACAUGCCUUCCUCCUUGAGAUGGUUCAGAAGACCCUGUCUCAGAAGUUCUUGAAACACUCUUCUUGUGAGAUAGGCAGAACCAUAUAAGAAAGAUAACCAUCCCCACCAAUGCCACGACUCCUGCAGCACCUCCUAAUAUGGCUGCAAGAGUCCUUGACAUUUGGUAUGGGAACCACUUCAACAAUGCAGUAAAGUAUUACUGGAAUAUAAAAUAUUAUACAUCGAACCUGUAUUCCCAGAGAAAUAAUUCAGCCAGAUCUCCAGAAAUCUCAGAUUCAUUUGCCAAUGACAAAAUCAGCGAGCCUCGCAAUAACAGAAUCAGCAAAAUCAACACUCACCCACAUUCCCACAUUGAGAAAUGAAGUCUUUUUGUUUAUAUCUCUCAAUCCAAAAACCCAGCAAGAAUUUCGAAAACACAGUCAAAUCAAGAAAAAGUAAUAUAAACCCAGUUAUGAUCAACACCAACUCUAGGAGUUGCAAGUGUCGAAGAGACAAAGGCAGGUAAAGGAAAGCAGAGACACACAGCUUUCAGGGGCUGCAACAACUAAGAAGUAAUGAAUGAAUGAAUGAAUAGAAUCAACCAAUCUCGUGGUUGUACUUUUUAAUCAAUAAAUUUGAGAAUCAUCGUUGGAUACAGACAAUGCCGACAGAAAGAGACCUCGCGCCGACAGCACUCUCAGGUUUGGGGCUUAUUCCUAUGACUUCCCUUCCACCAAAAUCACCCCAAAAAAUACUCAAAAAAACCAAAACCCAUUACACCAAAUCACCAAUAUCUAUAUCCAAAACCCACCAAUUAUGUAUAACCAAAUUAAUAUAUAACACCUACCGUUUUCUUCUUUUGAUGUUUCAAGUUCCAGAGAAUAAAACUUUUAAAAAUCCCUACAGCAAAAAAAAGUAUGGAAUUUGAAGCAAAGGAAGUACGCUGUAUUAUAUCAAGAUGAUGAUGACCAUGAAAG